GGACUUUCUGAUGUUCUGAUUGAAAUGAAAUCUAAGGACAAACACAGAAGGAAGAGCAGUGAGUCUGGAGACACUCUGUACUCUGAACUGAACCACAACAGAGAUAGAGAUGCUGAUGCUGGAGUUGGUGAUGCAACUUAUGCUCUAGCUUUUUGGAAGAAGGGUCACAAAA